CAUGGUUGUCGUCAGCUCGUGUCGUGAGAUGUUGGGUUAAGUCCCGCAACGAGCGCAACCCCUACGUUUAGUUGCUAACGCGUGAAGGCGAGCACUCUAGACGAACUGCCGUUGACAAAACGGAGGAAGUGGGAUGACGUCAAAUCAUCAUGCCCCUUAUGUUCUGGGCUACACACGUGCUACAAUGGCCGGUACAGACGGACGCAAAGCCGCGAGGUGGAGCAAAUCCUAAAAAGCCGGUCUCAGUUCGGAUUGCAGGCUGCAAUUCGCCUGCAUGAAGUCGGAAUCGCUAGUAAUCGCAGGUCAGCAUACUGCGGUCGAAUACGUUCCCGGGCCUU
rnacentral:rRNA from 1 species